ACCUUUUGUAGCAGACCUCUCAGAGAUUGUUCAAUGUCGUCUGCCGUAUUAGUAACGGUUAUCUGGUUUUCUUCGCUGCAGCCAAUACCAAUAGAUAUUGGAACGAAUGUAGGACUUUCAAUAUUAGGCUAAAUUUGACCAGGAAGAUGGCAAACCAACUAUAACCUGCAAAGAAAGCAUGACACACACAGUAGCAUCCACCCUGGCUAACCGUUGAACCGCCGUUGGGCUACUCUUUGUUUUAAUCAGUACUUUUUGGCGGACACCGAGUGCAACCUGCUUGAAUUCGUCAGUUGUUUUUGUCCACACCAACAAAAUGGAUUCAACCAUAUCCUCAAGUCGUACAUACUGCUUGCUGCAACGUUGACACAUUAAAAUUUAACAGGUAUAUUACGACAUAAUGUAGAUAAUUUGUUUUUCUACCUAGGUAGACCUUUCAAUCGAAUGCUGCUCAACUUUGAUCGCAAAUGAACUGCCGGACGAUGUAUCAGAGGAUGACAUCGAAGUAGAUUGCGUUGGAUAACCCGAAAUGCCUCUUUGAAAUUGUUUUUACUAUUAUCCAGUACAAGUCCAUAUUCUACUGGUGGUAUUAAUGGAAAUGCUAAAUUGAUUGGUUUCAGGUUUUUCAGGGCUGAGCAAUAAUCUGAAUCAACUUCUUGCAACAACUCAUCUAUUAACGAUGGAUUCCGAGUCUGUAAGCCUACACGCUGUAUCAACCGGAAUCAAUAUGAGUUUAAUUCUUCUACGUAAAAUUAUCACACUUACCUUGAGCAACGAUUCCUUCCAGGCAGAGGGAAAUGGAACAAGUGACUUAUUCCCAAGAGGAAUUAUAGCUGUAGGAUUAGCUGGAUUUUUGUUGGCUGGCCGCUUUUUCCGUGAGAUAUUACCGUCGUGGUGAAUGCCUUUCCAGGCAUAUCGAUCAGCUAUUUCACCAAUAUGACGGAAGAAGAUGGCCCGUUCUUUAUCUUUCUCUCGGAUUUCAGCCUUCGCCUCGGAGAGUCGUUGCUUUUCACUGGCCUGUUGUUUAGUUUUUCGCCUGAUCAUUUUACCUGCACUUUUUUUUGUGUUCUUCCUAUCUAGGUCCUGAACUGACCAUUCUGGCAAACAUUUGCAUACACUGAUUAUGUCAA